UACGAAGAGGGCGAGCGUUGUUCGGAUUUAUUGGGCGUAAAGGGCGCGCAGGCGGCUCAUUUUGUCAGGCGUGAAAGCCCCGGGCUUAACCUGGGAACUGCGUUUGAUACGGGUGGGCUAGAGUUCGGGAGAGGGGAGUGGAAUUCCCAGUGUAGAGGUGAAAUUCGUAGAUAUUGGGAAGAACACCUAUGGCGAAGGCAGCUCUCUGGGACGGUACUGACGCUGAGACGCGAAAGCGUGGGGAGCGAACAGG
rnacentral:rRNA from 1 species